rnacentral:lncRNA from 1 species
CAAUUGUGUACAUGCAUAUGAUGCCAUCAGGAUUUUGUGAAUUUGUCGACGCAGCAAUUCAGAAUUAUCCUACAUCAUUUAAACGAAAAUUCCUGUAUUGACAACACCUUAGUUUUUUUGUCUAAAAUCUAUGGAAUAAAAAUUUAAGAUUUUAUAAUAUAAGACGGAGUAAAUUAUGACGUCCAUUAUCACUGAACUAGUAUACAUUUUUGUUUAGGGCCAGCUGAAGCACACAUCCGGG